rnacentral:rRNA from 1 species
GGGCCCGCACAAGCGGUGGAGCAUGUGGUUUAAUUCGAUGCAACGCGAAGAACCUUACCAGGGCUUGACAUACUACAGAUUCUUUAGAGAUAGAGAAGUGCCUUCGGGAAUGUAGAUACAGGUGGUGCAUGGCUGUCGUCAGCUCGUGUCGUGAGAUGUUGGGUUAAGUCCCGCAACGAGCGCAACCCUUAUUUUUAGUUACCAAUUCGUUGGGUUCUCUAGAAAGACUGCCGGUGACAAACCGGAGGAAGGUGAGGAUGACGUCAAGUCAGCAUGCCCCUUAUGUCCUGGGCUACACACGUGCUACAAUGGUUAAGACAAAGAGUCGCGAGCUUGCAAAAGUCAGCUAAUCUCAUAAACUUAGCCUAAGUUCAGAUUGUAGGCUGCAACUCGCCUGCAUGAAGUUGGAAUC